CCUACGGGAGGCUGCAGUGAGGAAUAUUGGUCAAUGGACGAGAGUCUGAACCAGCCAAGUCGCGUGUAGGAUGACUGCCCUAUGGGUUGUAAACUUCUUUUAUAAAGGAAUAAAACGAGGCACGUGUGCCUUUUUGCAUGUACUUUAUGAAUACGGAUCGGCUAACUCCGUGCCAGCAGCCGCGGUAAAACGGAGGGUCCGAGCGUUAUCCGGAUUUAUUGGGUUUAAAGGGAGCGUAGAUGGGUUGUUAAGUCAGUUGGGAAAGUUUGCGGCUCAACCGUAAAAUUGCAAUUGAUACUGGCAGUCUUGAGUGCAGUUGAGGUAGGCGGAAUUCGUGGUGUAGCGGUGAAAUGCUUAGAUAUCACGAAGAACCCCGAUUGCGAAGGCAGCUUACUAAGCUGUGACUGACAUUGAUGCUCGAAAGUGUGGGGAUCAAACAGGAUUAGAUACCCUAGUAGUC
rnacentral:rRNA from 1 species